GGAGAUAAUUGGAUUUCUUCCCAAUUAUCUCCAGGAUAGAGAGGAGGGGUUGUUUGUACAAAGGGGAGGGUUUAUGUCUGAGCCACUGUGAUUGGCUAAUGUAUCCCACUUGUCCCAGUCUUCCAUCUGGUCCCGUAGGGGAGUGUCCACCAGGUGGGAGACCUGCAUAAAUACCGGACAGGUAGCCAUCAUUAAAGCAGAUUCCUGUUUUACCCUCAAGACGGAGCUUGGUCUCGUGUUUGGGGGGAUUGCUACUUUGGAG